rnacentral:lncRNA from 1 species
UACUGUCUCCAGCAUCCUUGGACAUGUGAGACUCUGCAUCUUAAGGAGUUUGGCUUCCUACCUUGCUUGCCAUUUAUGAAUUCCCACAGCAGUCCUGAUGGAGUUCUGGUGGAGUGAUCGGGUGAGCAAGGCAUAGGCAGCCCAGCUACCUCAUGCCACACACUCUUCAGAGAGAAGGAAGUGGGCGCAGAGGUCUGCCCAUGAAGAGAUCCCACCCAUGGAUUGGACACUGUCAAAGUGGGGAGGGAAGGUUCUGGAACCUUGAGGUGGUGGGCAGAGGUUGCUGGAUGGUGGAUCUUGAGGGUUAUAGUCUGGCUGCGCUUGCUGCCUGAGUUUUCUGAUUCUUGGUCUGUAGAGAUGUGAGGAAUCACAGGCCAUGUUCUGCCAGCAUGUUUUCCUCAGUGAGGACUGUGCCUUCUCAAAUGUGGGCUGAGAUAAACCCUUAAAUUGCUUUUGUCAGGGAUUUUGUCACCAAGACGAGUGGUUGGUCCUCUGAAUCAUAAAGCGCGGUCCAAACAGCAGCGUGAAGAAGUGUGGGCAGCCUGGGGAGAUGUACAGUUGUCUUCAGAUUUGACGCUCAGCAUGGCAAGUGCCCCUUCCUCAAUGUGGAAAACCCUGGAAACAAGGCUCUGAGGAGACUGGUGUAGGGACCCUUGAUCAGGUCAGAACUCUGAAAAAAUUCCCUGGAUCAGAGGCUGUCUUCUGCAUGAAACGGAACGGCAGCAGCUGAGACCUACCCUCAGGUUAGGAGGAAAAGAUGCAACCCCACUGCAAAGUACAAGAGCAAACCCUGCACCCUAAAUCCCACACAGCUUCUCAGCAGGAGCCGGAUUAAACAGAGAAAAUAAUUUCAAUAUCAAGGGAUAAUGUGCACAAGACAGGAAACUCUUUCAAGCAGGCUGUGUGAUGAGCAGUGUUUCUGUCCCCUGGGUGAUGGAGAAGAGAGAAAAGACAGAUAAUUAGGAAAAGCUGCAGGGCUCUGGAUUUUCAACUCUCUUGAGGACAUCAGCUCUUUCUGAAUCCAGAAAAUCACGGCACAAAUGCUUGACUACUGCAGUAAGACCGUGGCCAGAGAAGGCAGGGUGCGCUUGUAUGCCAUCAGUUACACCUGAACAGUAAAAACCCAAAUAAAACCCAAACUCAGAUCAACCACACUUCUCAUGUCUGGAAGCUGCUGCUGCUGCUCUGCUGGACCAUACACCAAACAGCCCUUCCUGGGCAUCUCUCCUUAGGAAAUCAACAUCCUGCAGGGUACAUGCCAAGCCACAGGCAGCUGCAACCCCAUGGGAGUAAGGCCUCUGCUAUUAUUCCAAGGUUUGGAAAAAAAUCAGAUGUGGAAAUAUAAACAGCCAGCAUUCCAAAUUCCCUCUGUGUUGUGCACUUGUCCUCUCGUGUGCUCUCUUAAAAAGACUCUCAAACUCCAUCUUCUCAAGGACAUUCAAGGUCAAACAGAAUGAAUGUGCUUCUGCUCAAAGUGGCUCCAUCACCUUUGUCUCUCCCCGACGUAGGCUGGAUUCCGAGUCACUGUGUGGACGCAACUGUCAGUAAAAUCAACUUCGCAAAGGACUUUCUGUAAGGAACCCAACCUCAGCAGACGAAAACUGUCUCUGACCAGGGAAAGCAGGGAAUCACUUCCGCUCAUGGGCGGCGCUCCAAGAGGAAGUCGAGUGCAUAACAGAUGGCCAAGUUUCCCUGUUCUAGUCUUGAGAUGAAGCAAGCGCUUUGUCGAGG